rnacentral:lncRNA from 1 species
AGAUUACAGCGCGGCCUUUGUCGGGCGGGCCUGGCUCCCGGCCAGGCGCCCAAACAAUAAACAAUCCCCCGGGUGCGGGCAGGGGGUUUCGCCGGCCGCAGCCAGGCUCUAGGUGUGCGCUGGCGAAUAUCUCUAUCAACCGCGAGGAGGGACCGGGCCGGGGGCGCGGGCGCCGCGGCGGGCGCUCUUACCUUCCACCCACAGCUCCUCCACGUUGGUCUCGAGGUUCGCUGCUUUUAAUCCCACCGCGAAGGCCCCAAAUAUGAGGAGGCCCACAACCAAGAACUUGCCGCAGUUUUUUUGAAUGUAACAACCCAGUUUAAAUAAGAGUCUCUGAAACUU